rnacentral:rRNA from 1 species
AGAGUUUGAUCAUGGCUCAGGGUAAACGCUGGCGGCGUGCCUAAAACAUGCAAGUCGAACGAGGAACUUCGGUUCCGAGUGGCAGACGGCUGAGUAACACGUGGAUGACCUGCCCAACUGUGGGGAAUAACUGCCCGAAAGGGUGGCUAAUACCGCAUGCGCUCCCAAGUUCGAUUUUGGGAGGAAAGCUCGCAAGGGCGCAGAUGGAGGGGUCCGCGGCCGAUUAGCUAGUUGGUGGGGUAACGGCCUACCAAGGCGACGAUCGGUAGCUGGUCUGAGAGGAUGAUCAGCCAGACUGGGACUGAGACACGGCCCAGACUCCUACGGGAGGCAGCAGUUAGGAAUUUUGGGCAAUGGGCGAAAGCCUGACCCAGCAACGCCGCGUGGGUGACGAAGGCCUUCGGGUCGUAAAGCCCUUUUCUGGGGGAAGAUAAUGACGGUACCCCAGGAAGAAGCACCGGCUAACUACGUGCCAGCAGCCGCGGUAAUACGUAGGGUGCGAGCGUUGCCCGGAUUUAUUGGGCGUAAAGGGCGCGCAGGUGGUUUUGUGUGCUCCGUGUGAAAUCGCCGGGCUUAACCCGGCGGGGUCACGGAUGACUACAGGACUGGAGCCUGGGAGGGGGAAGCGGAAUUCCCGGUGUAGUGGUGGAAUGCGUAGAUAUCGGGAGGAACACCAGUGGCGAAGGCGGCUUCCUGGACCAGAGCUGACACUGAGGCGCGAAAGCGUGGGGAGCGAUCCGGAUUAGAUACCCUAGUAGUCC